rnacentral:lncRNA from 1 species
GGGGCAGUGAGUGUCAGCCUCACUCAGUAGGGGGCAGUGAGUGUCAGCCUCACCAGUAGGGGGCAGUCAGCCUCAGAAGGGGGCAGUGAGUGUCAGUCUCACUCAGCAGAGUGGGGGGGGGGCAGUGAGUCUCAGCCUCACUCAGAAGGGGGGGGGGCAGUGAGUGUCAGUUUCCAGCUGAAUGUGGGGAGUGUGCUCCUCCCUCCCCUGAGUGCACACUCUCUCUCUCUCUCUGGGCUCCUUCUGUGUGAGUGCUCCCUCAGGCUGUGUGCAGUGAGUGUGGCUGCUCCCAGGGAGCUCUGUGAGUGCUGCGGCCGGUGUGCUCCCGGGGAGCUCUGUGAUUGCUGCGGCCGGUGUGCUCCCAGGGAGCUCUGUGAGUGCGGCUCCCUCACUGACACACAGCAGC